UACGGAGGGUGCGAGCGUUGUCCGGAAUCAUUGGGCGUAAAGGGCGCGUAGGUGGCCCGGUCAGUCCGUGGUGAAAGCGCGGGGCUCAACCCUGCGUCGGCCAUGGAUACUGCCGCGGCUCGAGCACUGUAGAGGCAGGCGGAAUUCCGGGUGUAGCGGUGGAAUGGCGUAGAGAUCCGGAAGAACACCGGUGGCGAAGGCGGCCUGCUGGGCAGUUAGCUGACACUGAGGCGCGACAGCGUGGGGAGCAACAGG
rnacentral:rRNA from 1 species